AUAAACAUGUACUUUUGUGGAUCUUGACAAUGUUGUAGAAAAUACCAUUUGUGAAGUUAUAUAAUGUAACAGGAGGAUUAAUGAAUGCCCUGUUACUUCCAGAAACAAAUCUCAUAGAGGAGAUGGGAUGCUGUCCACAGAAGAUGACAUCACCUGGCGUCGCCCGGUGUUGGGAGAACUCCACCUGCAAGGACUGAAUUAGAAUUCACUUACCAGAAAUGAAGAGGGCAUCAUAAAGGGAAACAUUCUCAGUAAACAACCCCUGGAAGGGGAUUGCAGAGCAGCAACCGAGAAAGUUGAUUGAAGUAGCUUGUGCAGAGGCACGGGGAUUUUCAGAGCGGUGCCCAAGAGUGGAGCAGAUUCACACUACCCUCAGGUACACACCAUAGUCAGACUUUAAGGGAGUAAAACCCUUGUUCAUUUGCCAGUGGAGCAUUUGAGGACUGAGAAUUCUCUUGAUUUUUGUUGUAUCAUUUUCUUUAUUAAUCAUGAAGAGAGAGAUGAUGUAUCAGCUGUGAAAAUACUGGGAUGCCACUUAACAGACAUAGAGACUGUUAAUGGACUUGACUGACUCAUGGUUUAAGGCCGUUUGCACAUGCUGUUUAUGUUUGGUUUUUGGUUGCAAAAUAAGGGGGGGAGGGGGUGGCAGGGCACUGUUUGUGCCUGCCACUUUAAGACCUGGAGCCAAGCAGCCAGCAGGUGCUUAAUUGCAGCAGACAUUUUAGAGCUCUGGCCGCCCAUACAAAUAGGGCAUUUUGCUGCUGGCUGGGGGUGCAGCAACGUCACCUGGCUGCGAGGCUUCAUGGAACACUUUGGAGGUAGAGAUGAUGUAUUCACAGACUGCAUGUUGACAAAACACACUAAACAUCUUUUGAAUGCCUGCUCCUUUAGUCUAAGUAUUAGUUCCUUUAACAACUAACAUAUUCAAAACCAGUGGAACAAGAUGCCAGGCUCUCUUGACUGUGGUUUCCACAUGCAUACUCCAUAAACUGCCUGACUCUACUAGCAACACCAUUACACUGAGCGGCAUGUCCCCCAGAAGCCAAGAACCUGGUUCUAGAAAGAGGCAAGAUGGAACAAUGCAGAGUAACAAGAACUAUGCAGGUGCCAGCACAGAGCAUGAACUCAGCAGAACAUUAAGAUGGAUUUUGCUCCCUUGCUCCCAGCAGAGGAUUCCCUGCUAUUUCUCAAUCUAUACACAUCUAUUUAAUGCCAGUUUAACAGCACUGGGUAGAAUUAAGAGUGACAUCUGGUGCUGCAUGAGACAUUUGUUCUCUCUCAUUCACUGCUUUCCUAUCUGAGCUAAAAAUAAUAUUCAAAGUACAUACUAUAAUAAUAAAUGGUAGCAAGAUGCCUGCCUGGAAAGAAGAGUGCUACAUUUCUGGCAGGCUUUACUGGGUAAAAGCCUAGCCAGCUUGAACAACUUUUAUAAAAAAUAAAAAUUAACUCCCUAGAAAGGAAAAAAUGAGCUUCCUUUUUCUUUCUAGUUUGGCCCCCAAAUAUUAAAUUUAUCGGGGGGGGGGGGG